rnacentral:rRNA from 1 species
GACGAACGCUGGCGGCGUGCCUAAUACAUGCAAGUAGAACGCUGAAGCUUGGUGCUUGCGCCGAGCGAAUGAGUUGCGAACGGGUGAGUAACGCGUAGGUAACCUGCCUCUUAGCGGGGGAUAACUAUUGGAAACGAUAGCUAAUACCGCAUAAAAGUCGACAUUGCAUGAUGUUGACUUGAAAGGUGCAAUUGCAUCACUAAGAGAUGGACCUGCGUUGGAUUAGCUAGUUGGUGAGGUAACGGCUCACCAAGGCAACGAUACAUAGCCGACCUGAGAGGGUGAUCGGCCACACUGGGACUGAGACACGGCCCAGACUCCUACGGGAGGCAGCAGUAGGGAAUCUUCGGCAAUGGGGGCAACCCUGACCGAGCAACGCCGCGUGAGUGAAGAAGGUUUUCGGAUCGUAAAGCUCUGUUGUAAGAGAAGAACGAGUGUGAGAGUGGAAAGUUCACACUGUGACGGUAACUUACCAGAAAGGGACGGCUAACUACGUGCCAGCAGCCGCGGUAAUACGUAGGUCCCGAGCGUUAUCCGGAUUUAUUGGGCGUAAAGCGAGCGCAGGCGGUUAGAUAAGUCUGAAGUUAAAGGCUGUGGCUUAACCAUAGUACGCUUUGGAAACUGUUUAACUUGAGUGCAAGAGGGGAGAGUGGAAUUCCAUGUGUAGCGGUGAAAUGCGUAGAUAUAUGGAGGAACACCGGUGGCGAAAGCGGCUCUCUGGCUUGUAACUGACGCUGAGGCUCGAAAGCGUGGGGAGCAAACAGG